GUGCUGCCACAGGAGCUAUCUCUCAGAGCAAGAAGCGCCUUAUGGCAGAAGAGCAAUUUUAACAACCCCAGAACCAGAGGAGAGCGAGUGCUGCCAGUGCUGCAGGUGAGGGUGACUCGGCCAUAAAAAAAAUGGAACCCUCUUUUUCUGCCUGUCAAGCUGCUCUCCACACCCUGGCCUGGCACAUGGCCUGUGCCCACUGCUCCAUGCUUCCCCUGAAUGGAGGAAAAGCCUCUCCAGAUGUGACUGUGCCCAUCACAACAUGGCUGGGAUGCUUCAGCUGAGAGCUGAAAAUCCAUCACAACCCCCAGAGCACAGGGCACUGCCUCCAAUCCCUGCACCUGUGCUGUGAGAGUUCUCCAGACAGCACCAACAGAAGGGACAAAACAUCAAAAGCUGGAGCAGAAGGGCCCUGAAGGUGGUUCUAGCAGCUUGUUUUAAGCCCAGCCUGCUGCCUUGCCUUCCUUUGGCUCUCCCCCUCCUUGGAAUGGGAGAGAACAUCAGGACUCCUAUUGGAGAGAGACAAAUGCUUUUGGUGGUGACACUGGGUGACCUCUGGGAAUGUUUGUGGGAAGGAAGAGGAAAGAGAGCAGAAGGAAACAAUGGACCAGGAAACACAGCUGGAAGUCAAACAGAAUGGCAAGUGCUGGACUGAACUCAGCCCCAUUCAGUGGGAUUAUGAAAACCUGGAAUUGCUGUAAUGCACUGAGUCCAUCCCAAAAAAUCAUCAGAUUCCCAGGUGCUGCGAGGGGUUUUGAGAGGGGCUGAGGGUUGGUGGUGCAAGUUCAGGAACCUGCAGGUCAUGACAAGGGUCUGGAGUGACAGAUCAAGGGGGAACAGCUUCCCAGUGACAGACUGGAGGCACAGAUCAGACAUCAGGAAAACUCUGGGAGGGUGGCAGGCCCUGGCACAGGUUGCCCAGGGCAGCUGGAAAUGUCCAAGGCCAGGUUGGACAGGGUUUGGAGCAGCCCGGUCUGGGGGCUGGACUGAGUGGCCUUUAAGCUCCUUUCCAACACAAAGCAUUCUAAGGUUUAUGAUUCCAUGGCUCAGGGCCAUCAGCUCCUUCCCUUGCUGGGGCGAUCCUCAGGCAGGGGAUCAGGAGCUGCCUCUGCUGCUCCCAACUGCACAAGGGCUCCAGCCACAGUGUUCCACAUCACAGCAGAGCCAACAAUACCAGCUUUCUGCUGGUUGGUGAAGAACUCUUUCAGAAUGUUUAGGAAGGCUCUGAAUGGAUCUGUAACUGCAUUAAUCCUAAGCAUGAAUUGAAAAUUCAGAAGCUUCUGAGCUUCUCUUUGCAGCUCCCUCCUGGCACACCAGUCCAGCUUCCACUGUCAGCUCCUAAAUUGCUUUUCAGCUGCAGUUGGAAGGGUAUUUACCUACAUUCAAUUACAGACAUGACUUUGGUGUUAUAAAUAAGGCAUGUAGGAACUACUCCAGAAUAAAGUACAGUAUUCAUGAGUAAUACUUUACCUCUGCAAUGCUUCCCAGACCUUGACUGUUGGCUGCUGGAUAAAUACUUGUUCUGCCAACAUUAAUUGGAAACUAAACCAGACUGCAACUGCACAGGCUGUUUUUUUUCUUUAAUACAGCAGAGUGGCAGUAAUGAUUUCACAUCAAGGAGCUCAGUGAAAUGAUAUGCUUUGAAUUUCACCACUGCAGAGUUUAUCAUCAGAGAUUUUUCCAUUUUUAAUG